CCAUAAUUUUGCAAUCAGGUCCCCGAACUUUAAUUUUUAUUGUCAGCACCGAGCUUUCGCUUCUUCACAAUUGAUGGCACUUUGACUAGGGAUCUGACCAGCUUUCUAGUCGAAUGCCGACUCGACAGAGACACUACCAAUUUUUUCAUACAUGAUAAAAUUGACAAUGUAAUAGUUUUUCUGCUGAUUGUAAGACUAAAAACCU